GCGUUCGGUGUGAUCUUCUAAACUCAGGGCUGUUUCUGUGUGUUAUCGUUUUCCUGCAGGCGCCUCCAUCCGUCCGUAACUUACUACUGUCCCCUGCUGGCCGUCCACAGCACUCUACAGGACCCCUGGCUCUGUGUGUGUGUGUGUGUGUGUUGAGCUGCAGUAAAUGUGUCUGGAGUAACACACACUGGACUGUGUUUGUAAUUGUGCUGAAACGCUGAGAGGAAGAGCUCAUCCGAACAGCACGUUUGCUGGGGUUUUUCUGCGGGGGGUUAAACGUCUCGGCUGACAGUUCACGGAUGUGCAGUCAGGUUACUCAUGUCAAAUGACCAAUUAAAGGGGCUAUAGAGGAUGGCAGGGCGGUCUCUAGUGCUGCGCUCUCACGGGACACCAAUCAAACGAGAGCUCUAUCACUCAAAUAUAAACUGGAUUCAUUCAUUAGCCAUUUACCAGCCC
ensembl:lncRNA